rnacentral:rRNA from 1 species
ACGAACGCUGGCGGCAUGCCUAACAUCUGCCAGUCGAACGAGACCUUCGGGUCUAGUGGCGCACGGGUGCGUAACGCGUGGGAACCUGCCCUUAGGUUCGGAAUAACUCCCCGAAAGGGGUGCUAAUACCGGAUAAUGUCUUCGGACCAAAGAUUUAUCGCCUUUGGAUGGGCCCGCGUUGGAUUAGCUAGUUGGUAGGGUAAAAGCCUACCAAGGCGACGAUCCAUAGCUGGUCUGAGAGGAUGAUCAGCCACACUGGGACUGAGACACGGCCCAGACUCCUACGGGAGGCAGCAGUGGGGAAUAUUGGACAAUGGGCGAAAGCCUGAUCCAGCAAUGCCGCGUGAGUGAUGAAGGCCUUAGGGUUGUAAAGCUCUUUUACCCGGGAUGAUAAUGACAGUACCGGGAGAAUAAGCUCCGGCUAACUCCGUG